GCUCCAGUGGCGCAAUCGGUCAGCGCGCGGUACUUAUAAUGCCGAGGUUGUGAGUUACGCGAGCCGAGGUCGAGCCUCACCUGGAGCA